rfam:Perkinsus marinus ATCC 50983 gcontig_1104296592144, whole genome shotgun sequence.
GAUUCGUGCAGCUCAGUUGGUAGAGCGCUCGCCCAUCAUGCGAGAAUGCGCAGGUUCGAUUCCCACGGACCA